rnacentral:rRNA from 1 species
UGGGGAAUAUUGGACAAUGGGCGCAAGCCUGAUCCAGCAAUGCCGCGUGUGUGAAGAAGGCCUUCGGGUUGUAAAGCACUUUUAUCAGGAGCGAAACGCUGUCGGCUAAUACCCGGCGGAACUGACGGUACCUGAGGAAUAAGCACCGGCUAACUUCGUGCCAGCAGCCGCGGUAAUACGAAGGGUGCAAGCGUUAAUCGGAAUUACUGGGCGUAAAGCGUGCGUAGGCGGUUUCUUAAGUCUGCUGUGAAAUCCCCGGGCUCAACCUGGGAAUGGCAGUGGAUACUGGGAGGCUAGAGUGUGUCAGAGGGUGGUGGAAUUCCCGGUGUAGCGGUGAAAUGCAUAGAGAUCGGGAGGAACAUCAGUGGCGAAGGCGGCCACCUGGGACAACACUGACGCUGAGGCACGAAAGCGUGGGGAGCAAACAGGAUUAGAUACCCUGGUAGUCCACGCCCUAAACGAUGCGAACCGGAUGUUGGUCUCAACUCGGAGAUCAGUGUCGAAGCUAACGCGUUAAGUUCGCCGCCUGGGGGAGUACGGUCGCAAGACUGAAACUCAAAGGAAUUGAC